UUCUAUGACGGGCCUGGGUGGGGAUGCCUUCGGGCAUGCCGGUAGCUGUAGGUUCCGGUUCGCCAACCCCGCCUUGUGCCCGUCUCCCUA
rnacentral:antisense_RNA from 1 species